UAUUGUUUGUUCUCACAAUGAAUCUGAGUAGUAGAUAUAGCAUGCCCAUUUUCCAGGUAAGGAAACUGAGGGUUAGAGAGAUUCUGUAACUUGUGCAAGGUUAUAGGCUCUAAGUAGCAGAUUAGUUCUGACUGGAGGCCAGCGUUUCCUCGGGCCUCUGUGACAUCACAACGCAAUGGGAGUAUGACUUGGGCAGCUCCAGCUGGCUCCUCUGCUAGUCUUGCCGCAGUCACCAGUUUUGGAGGAAUGGGAGAGGAGCUUUCCACUCCUCUGAGAGUCAUGUCGAGAGUCUGUCUUAGCCCUCGACCCCUCAGUCUUUGUAGAUCUCAUCCCAGAACCCCGAGGGAGAGAUAAGGAAACCCAGGACCUGGGAGGCCAAGGCCAGGGCAAGAGUCAGGCAGAGAGAAGACCAGAGCGCAGGCUGUGUGGGCUCCUUCCACUAUGCAGCAAUCAAGGCUCCCUCCCCUGUGUGGGCUCUUUGGGUCUAACCUGGGAACCAGGAGACUUGUGAGUGCUGAGCAGCUGUGCCCCAGCCCGAGCCACAGGGAGGCCUUACGUUGAGAAGCCCACACUGUGUUGGCCUCCAAGGAGCCUGGAACCGACGGUGCCCCAUAGAGAGGGCCCUGUGGGGAGGAGGCUAGCCACGCAGACAGCCUGCUGCUAGGUGUGCCGUGGAACCACGGAGCUAAUUGCAGAUCUGGUCACCACCAUGCUGAGCGCCAGGGAGGAGGGAAUGGGGAGACACUAAGCCCACGAGACAGGAACACAGUGCCUGGUGAAACAGAGCCAGCCAGUGCUGAUGCAAGUAUUGACUGAGUUCAUAACCUGAUCUGCCGUGGGAGGGGGAAUAUUUGACAGAACGCAUCAGCCGAGGGUGGUGAGCCAGGCACUGGGAGAGUGAGCAAGACAGGCCAAGCGGGGAUGCCCUCGGCCACGACCACCUUCUCUCAGGGUCUUUCCACCCUGAUGAUCCCGAGGAACCCAACGUGCCCCCUACGGCAAUUCCGUCUGUUUCCAACUCCUCAUUGGCUUCAUGUGGGCUUCCCGGGUUCAUUGCUCAUCUGCGUGGAAUCUGCUGAAGCCACAGCACUGAGCUGAAGCUCACUGGUUCUUGAAUGUCACUAGCUGCUCCUGUCCCUGGGCCAUUCAAUGUCAGUGUCCGCCCUGUGGCUCUUCCUUGCUUUCUAGCUGCCAGUCAGCCACUUCCCGUCUUCCUCUCUUCAGUCCUCUCUCCCUUCCCCAGUGCACCUUAAACCCUUCUGGCUGCACUGAUGGGCUCUCCUUUCUAGCAUUUCUGUCUGAUCUCUGACCCUAACCCUGUCCUGGCCUGGGAGUGCCCUGAGAUCCUGACUGCCCUUCUUGGCUCCCAGGCAGGGCUCAGUCCCGGGAGAUGGGCCUUAGGAGGUGCAGACUCCUGCUGGGCCAACUUAGCAUUUUCCACAGCAGGUAGGCAGGCAGUCACAUGGUCACAUGGCCCAUCCCAAAUCUCUACAUCACAACCCAGAUUUUCUCCAUUAAGGGUAUCGAUUUCCUCAGCUGAACUGCUGGGAUCAAAGGCAGCCUUAGCAACUCGGCAGUUCAUUAAGUCCCAGCUGUCCCAGGGGACUGGCCUGGUGGAUAAACAUGUGAGCAGGUGGCCAUGCUGGGACCUUGAGGGCAGCCUGCUGCCAGGAGUGCUCAGGCUGGACCUGGGCAGGGCAGCAGGAAGGGCAGACCUCAGGCUGCCCUUUUGUCCCCUCCCUCCAAGAACUGGGCUUUGGGGCCCUCCCCAGGGCCCGCAGGAACCAUAUGGGGAUACUGCACCUGCUCCCACCCUGCUCCUGCCAUUUUCCUACCUGCCCUCCCACCAGAUACCUGCCAGGCCUUGUGCUGGGCACUGAAGAUGCAGAGCUUCCUAAGCCUCUAACCCCACCCUCAAGGAGCUCCCACUCCAGUGAGGAAGGCAGACCCCAUACCAUAGCGUUACCAGGCUGCGUACUAACAUCUGAUCGUCAGAACCAUUCCCAACUCAGAGAUUAAGUGUGAUAGGCAGCCUGUUUCAACCAGAGCAUUUCCUCUAGAUUUUUGUUCUUGCUUUUCAAAGUGACUCAUUGGAAAAAUUUUGGGUGAUACAGACCCUGAAGCACAAAGUAGAACAUGAAAUUUACACUAAUCAAGGCUGUUGGUUUUUCCAACUUCCCUUCCCUCUGCCUGAUCUGGAGACUGAGGUAAAGCAGAGCACACCUGGAUGGGGUUGGCCCUGCGUCUCAGGCCAACAGUGUCUGUCCUCCACAGGUGAGGGUAACCUGAGACGGUGCCAGGAGGGAGGAUGCAGCUUUCCUCUUGCCCCCAGCCCCGGAACCUGAACUUUCUCCUCCUGAGCUCCGAUCUGCCUUCACUUCCCAUUUGUUCUCUCUCAUUGCCCCCCAACUCACAUGAAUGUGAGCACUUAGAUGCAAGGACUUUUUAGGGAAAUUAAAGGUGUACAGUACCCCCACUCCUUCCUUCUUUCACUCCCUUAUCCUGAGGACUAAGAGGAAGAGCUGAAGGGGCAACGUUCCAGGGGACUAUUAGAGGCCAGGAGACAAGCGGGCCUGGCAACAAGCCACGGUUGCAGGUGCUGACCGGCCCCCUCAUCCCUCCCCACUGGGUGCCCAGGGUGUGUGAGGUGGAGGUGGCCCUAGAGGUGGAAGAGCUGCCCCCUGAACAUGCAGGGCCUGUGGUUUCACUGAAGACAGCAGGUUAACAUGGAGGAAACAGGAUGAGACAGGGCAGGCUGGCUUGUGGUCUUUUCUGAGUGACCCCUAAACCAGGGACUCAGACAGGUCUGGGGCUGGGGAAGCUGCUGGGUGGGAGCAUUUUCCCCAGUUCCUAUAAUGCAAAGUAACAGUCACUUCUCUUGCUCCAAAGCUUCAUUGCUGGCUGCAGUCAGAGUCUGGGCUCUUGCCCACACUUCGUUCUUCUCCUCCAAUCACAGGGAGGGGUUGGUGGAGUCACUCGCUUGCCCAGUCAUUCCAUCAGCAGAUGUUUGCUGAGUGCUGAUUGGGUGCCAGGCACUGUGCCUGACCCUGGGGACACAAUGCUGAGCAAAACAGACAUGGCCUCUUUCCCCUAGCAGACCUACAUCUGAAGGCAAGCAUCCCAGUUUUCAGCUUGAAACCACCCUGCAGCUCCAGGGAUGGGACAGGCAGGUGGAGAGAGGAGUUUGGGUUGAGACUGUAUAAAGACUCAGACUGAACCCUUACUCUUAAAUUAGGCAGAGAUCUACUACUGCCCCCAAAACACCCUUCCCCAAAGAAGGGCCGCUGGGAAGGGGUGUGGGGAUAGGGAACCAACAUUUGUUUAGUUCUGAAAGUGCUAGGAAUAGGGUAGGCUGAGUGCCUCACAUUUCUUGUCUUAAUCCUCACCAAAACCCUGGGAGGUGAAUAUCAUAAUCCCAAUUUGCAGACCAGGAAGCUGAGGCUCAAUGGAACAAAUUAUCUCAUCAUUAUCGUGGGUAAUGCAUAACCCGGUCUGGCUGCAGGGCCUAUGCCUUUUCCACAACAUCAUUUAUCUCUGGGAAACAUACAAGACCUUCGUUCUGCCCUCUGAGCACUGCAGACAUGUGAAGACCUUGACCCCCUGGGAAAUUGUUCCCACUUUCUGCUUUGAAGAAAAUGAUAGAGGAAGUGCCAGAGUGCACUCUCUUCCCUUUCUAAACGUCGGCCUCUCUUUUCCCUCCUGCAUCUUCCUAGUCCUGGAAAUCCCUGUUGUCCCCGCCUUUGUCCCAGAAAAUCCCAAAAACGCUUCACGUGAGUCUAUUUAAAUCCCCACUCUCAGCACUCAGGACCGGUUCUGGUUUCCUGGUGUGGCCUGGGCCUCCAUCUGGUUUGGAGGCUAUUUUGAUCCACCGGAUGCAGAUUAGCUGCUGCGAUCUGGGGCUGAGCUGCUGGAGAGAUGCCUUUAUCUACAGAAGGACAAUUUGAAAACUAACUCAAAGCAUCGAGAACAAAUAAAUAAAUUCCUCUUUCCGUUCCCAGCACUCUCCAUCCUAUUUCUACAGGUAAUUGCUGAAGGAUUUUUGCUUCAAACAGGCUCUUGUUUGCAUCAAGUGUGGGGUGCAGCAAAGUGGACUCGGGACUGGCCGAUGUCUGGCCAGAAAUGCCAGGCAAGGGAAACAGUGACUCUAGUGGGGUCAGGAGAGGGGCAUCUGCUGGCCCAGGAGCGCAAGGCAGAGGGGUGAGGCGACUCUGAGGCAGGAGGUCCAAGUUUGCUGGACAAUGGCAGAAACAGAAUUCAAACACCUGUCUUCUAGGAGAAGUUCUGGUCUCUCCUCGGUGCUGCGGCUGCCCCGGGAAGAGUUUCCAGGAGCUGACAAGCAUUCAGAUGAGUAAAGAUGGGAUCGGAUUGAGAAAAGGAGAAGGGAGAGCAUAUUCGUUCUCUUUCCACCUCCCUCCCACAGCCUUUCAUGCUGAUCUCAUCUGACGAAGCUGCCUCCUCCUCCCUGGACUCUACAAGCCCCUGUCAUGAUGUUUCUCAGAUCCUGAAUUCCAGCGAAACAGAUGAUACUAACAAGUUUGAAGACCCCCACAGAGGAAUGGAAUCAGUAUGAGAACACAGUUUCUUCAUCUCCCUGUCCCAGAACUUCACCCUGGACUCCUCGACCAAUCAACAAUCUCCACACUUCGGCCCACUCCAAAACUCCUAAAAUCCCAAGCUCCAAACUCCUCUGGGAGAUGGAUUUGAGGCUUCCUCCCGUUUCCUUGUGUGGAAGCCCUGUCAUUAAACCUCUUUCUCUGCUGCAACCUGAUG
rnacentral:lncRNA from 1 species